rnacentral:rRNA from 1 species
GUCUAUGGCCAUACCACCCUGAAUGUGCCCGAUCUCAUCUGAUCUCAGAAGCUAAGCAGGGUCGGGCCUGGUUAGUACUUGGAUGGGAGACCACCUGGGAAUACCGGGUGCUGUAGCCC